rnacentral:lncRNA from 1 species
UCGAUGAGCGGGAGUAAUUCAGUUAACACGUGCGAGUGGUGAUAUCUUAGCAGUUUAUAACAUUGUCCAGCUUUUUUACCAUGAUGGUGAUGUGGCUCUGAUAAACAGUUUGUGGCUAACACUACGUAAACAAGAGGUAUUCUGGCCACCUUACAAAUCUCAAUCUAAAUUUGAUAAGGCAAUGAAAAGUAGUAUAAUCCCAGAAGAAAACAGUUUUUGGGCCAUUUAUAAAAUUAAACGAUACUUUUUUGAAACAGAUGACUUUAAUAAGGCGCAACAUAAAAUAAAGCAAGCACAAUUAACGUCUGAUUGCCAGAGUGACGCUGAAGACAUUUUGCCAACUAAAAGGAAAAUACAAAGAUCAACAAGAUUUUUAAGUGAUAGCAGAUGAUAAUAACGACAUUUUAUCAGGGAAACACAAAUUUCUACCACCACCAAAAAUUGCCAGAAUAUAUGAGAACACUGAAUCACCUCCAUUAUCAGAGAAACGUAUCCAACAAAUUGCAACAACAGAUAUAUUGAACUCUUCUAACAUUGAUCUUCAAAUACCGUAUGAUAAUACUCGACCUGAUAGGGUAUAUAAUUUCACAUCUUUUAAUAAUACUCCAACUACAUCAACUGCUGUGGAAAGUAACUCUCAAGAUGGUGUUUACUAUAAGACUACAGUAAUGAAGAAAUUAUUAUUCAUCGUUAUUCAUAUUAAAGAACAAAAUAACGAGAUUUUGACACUACUUAAUAAAAACCAAGUGACUCCAACUACUUCGACUCUAUUUAGAUUAGAAGACUUGCCAGUAAAUUUGCCUAUAUCGACCCAAGCAGAUUAAAAUAUUUUGGAAACAUACUUAAAAAAUAAUCAUAAUUUAUCAAUUAUGGUAAGCAAUUGUUAUUAAACCAAGAAAUUGUUAUUUUUCAUUAGUACAGGUUUUAAUUUCAUUUUGUAGUGUUUAUAUUUGGCCACAUUGGGUGGAAAAGAUCUUACAUCAAAAACGAAUAAAAUUUGCAGAUAUCUUU